CCCUUAGAUGUUCUGGGCCGCACGCGCGCUACACUGACGGAGGCAGCGAGCGUGUCCUUCGCCGGCAGGUGCGGGCAAUCUUGCGAGUCUCCGUCGUGCUGGGGAUAGAUGGUUGCAAUUGUCGAUCUUGAACGAGGAAUUCCUAGUAAGCGCGAGUCAUCAGCUCGCGCUGAUUACGUCCCUGCCCUUUGUACACACCGCCCGUCGCUACUACAGAGUGCCCGUGUCCAAGAAACGGUCGGACCUGUGCGGCCUCUCCGGGCGACCGGAGGGCCGUUGCGGGGAAGACCCUUUAUUUGACGCGGGUCGAUGAAGUAAAAGUCGUAACA
rnacentral:rRNA from 1 species